UGGGGAAUAUUGCACAAUGGGCGCAAGCCUGAUGCAGCCAUGCCGCGUGUGUGAAGAAGGCCUUCGGGUUGUAAAGCACUUUCAGCGAGGAGGAAGGGUAGUGUGUUAAUAGCACAUUGCAUUGACGUUACUCGCAGAAGAAGCACCGGCUAACUCCGUGCCAGCAGCCGCGGUAAUACGGAGGGUGCAAGCGUUAAUCGGAAUUACUGGGCGUAAAGCGCACGCAGGCGGUUUGUUAAGUAAGAUGUGAAAUCCCCGCGCUUAACGUGGGAACUGCAUUUGAAACUGGCAAGCUAGAGUCUUGUAGAGGGGGGUAGAAUUCCAGGUGUAGCGGUGAAAUGCGUAGAGAUCUGGAGGAAUACCGGUGGCGAAGGCGGCCCCCUGGACAUAGACUGACGCUCAGGUGCGAAAGCGUGGGGAGCAAACA
rnacentral:rRNA from 1 species